GACGAACGCUGGCGGCGCGCCUAACACAUGCAAGUCGAACGGAAAGGCCUGCUUUCCCUUGUGGAUUGCGGGUACUCGAGUGGCGAACGGGUGAGUAACACGUGAGUGAUCUGCCCCCAACUUGGGUAUAAGCCUGGGAAACUGGGUCUAAUUCCCGAUAGGACUGCAGGGUGGUGCCUGUGGUGGAAAACGAUUUUCUAGUGGUUGGGGAUGAGCUCGCGGCCUAUCAGCUUGUUGGUGGGGUAAUGGCCUACCAAGGCGGCGACGGGUAGCCGGCCUGAGAGGGUGGACGGCCACAUUGGGACUGAGAUACGGCCCAGACUCCUACGGGAGGCAGCAGUGGGGAAUAUUGCACAAUGGGCGGAAGCCUGAUGCAGCGACGCCGCGUGGGGGAUGACGGCCUUCGGGUUGUAAACUCCUUUCGACCGCGAGGAAGCCACCUGGUUGGAAGGGUGGUGACGGUAGUGGUAGAAGAAGCACCGGCUAACUACGUG
rnacentral:rRNA from 1 species